CUAAUGCAUGUUAUGGUGGAACAACCUCCCUCUUGAAUUGGUGUAACUUCGGUCGAAAGUCGAUGUUGGGAUGAGCGUUACAGCCUUGUAGUCUGCACAGAUAGCACGGUUUAUGCAGAGGGGCCAGCUCGGCCUAUGGGUGGAGCUGCUACAGUUGCUAUGCUUAUUGGUCCAAAUGCAUCUAUUUCUUUCGAAAGCAAAUAUAGAGCUUCUCACAUGACUCAUGUUUACGAUCUCUACAAGCCUCAUCUUGCAAGUGAAUAUCCGCGAGAUGCAUGGCACUGCGGGAGUUGUGACGGACAUGGACAGAUGAAUUCACAUGAUCUUGAGAUUGCAUGGAACCCUAUGUUGUUGACACAUAAGCUCAUAACACUUCUGGUGAAACUACUUGUCAGCGGAUGUUUACGCCAUUAAUGUCGACCAUUAUAUUGGAGGAUUUAAAGUAGGGUGACACCUGUUGCACCAAUUGACAUUGUUGACAGCAUAACAAAAGAAGCUUGAACUAAUAUUAAGUUUUGCAAUUGAGAAGAGGAGCGUGAGGGAAUAUGAUGUGACAUUCUGUGGUGGGCCUAUUUCUCCACGGAUGCUUCCCCUGUCAUGUCUGUUGCACACUAGCAGAGUGGCAGUGGCUCUAUUUGUUGCUACAGUACAAAUUUGUGGAGUACACAACAGAGGGUUGGACAUUCAAGGACAGUAUAGGAACUACCACGAAGUUUUCAACCGUCAGAUGUUUUCCCACCAUCGCCAUGCGCCGUUAAAAUAAAUCCGACGCCAUUUCAGUUUAAUUACUAGCUAAGCUGUUCUGCUGCUGGACUUAGAGAAUCGCUUCGGGAAACAAAUAUAGCAGACUCAUCAAAGCCGCGCAUAUACAGUAGAACCAGAGAUUCUCAGAAAUGUUACUCUUACCAGUACGGUACGUGCAGUGCGUGCGUUGGUACAGUACUGCACAUCGUUGAGGUACGGAGAAGAUACCCAUCGAUCGGUCACCACUUGCUUUCUCUCUCCGACGUCAGUGGCUCUCCCGGCGCUGACGUACACGCGCAAGGAUGCAUGAACCUGGUCAGCUUCCAGGUUGCUUCGCUUCGCCAGCAGCCAAUGGCGUGCAUGCUAGCUCUGACUUCACCACACAUCAGACCCCCACUAGUACUACCUCUGAAUUUUAAAUCCCUCUAGAAACGGGGGUCUCUUGCACCACGCAAAGGCGUUCCCUUUGCCAAUUUCCACGCCCACAAAGCGGCAA